AUGACUUGACCUAAGAGAGCGGGUGGGAUUGGCUUUAGGGAUAUGCACCUAUUCAAUGUAGCACUGCUUGCAAAACAAAGUUGGAGGCUCAUUCAGAACCCAAAUAGUUUGUGUGCUAGAGUGCUCAAAUCAAAAUACUACCCACAUGGAAACCUCAUAGAUACGGUGUUUACCUCCGAUGCUUCUCCGGUGUGGAGGGGGAUUGAGGCAGGUUUGGAGCUACUCAAGAAAGGGAUUAUCUGGCGAGUCGGUGAUGGGAAGAGUAUUCAGAUUCAAAGAGACCAAUGGAUCCCACGUAAGGAAGGACUUAAGACGGCUGCUUUUGUCAGGAGGUCAAGAUUAUGUUGGGUAAACCAGCUUAUGCAACCGGACAGCAAAGAAUGGAAUGUUGAGUUAGUGAGGCAAAUCUUCCACCCCUUCGAUGCUGAUGAAAUUUGCAAAAUUCCUAUUCCAAAGUCUAAUGCGGAAGACCAAAUCGCUUGGCACUAUGAAAGGAUUGGAAUCUUCUCAGUCAGAAGC
rnacentral:rRNA from 1 species